UGACUUCUUCUUGUGUGUUGUGAUUUCCGUUUGCUUUACUCCUGCUAGAAGAAACAACGUAGGGUGAUGGUGGAGCUCGUGUUUCCUCUUUAAAUCUGACAAGAACAGGGCAGCGAUGGGGUGUCCUCCAUGUUGAUGAAAUUGCAUCAAAUGCUGCAAGAAAAAGACGUGCUUUGUUCGUGCUGGUAGUUGACACAUAAACUUGCUGUAAUUUAGCGUGAAGAAUACCCUGCUAAGAGUUGGUGAUCUACAGAUGCAUAUGCUAUUCCCUUGAGACUUCUCUUUUGUAUUUUUUUCACGACUGGUUUUUUCCAGUGGCAUUUACAGUGAUCUGAGAACAAAGAAGAUGUGUUGUCAUGUCUUGGUUGUCUCUCCAGGCCAUGAGGACUCUCUCUUUGAUCUGUUCCAUCUGAAUCAUUUCACUCUAUUUGCCUCUUGAACCAGGGGUUUACACUGUCAGCAUAGAUGCAGAGCAUCAGAAGGUCACGGUCUCAGGGGAUGUGGACUCCAAUACCCUGAUCAAGAAGCUGGCAAGAUCAGGGAAGCACGCGGAGGUGUGGCCUCAGAAGACCAACAACCAAAGCAGCAAGCCCAACCAGCAACAACAACAAGGAGGGAAAGAUGGGAACAAGAACAACAAAGGCCAAGGCCAGGGUGGCCAAGCCAACCAAGCCCUCAUACAAGGUCUUAGAGAAUUCAAGAACCAGCACAACCGCAUGGAGCCCUUGAGUUCGGAUGACGAAGAAUUCGAUGAUGAUUUUGAUGAGGAAGAAGAUGAUGAGCUUGGGUUUCUUGGUGAAAAGAUGAAGCAACUUAACAUAUCAAAACAGGCAAACAAUGCGGUGACCGCAGCAACAGCAGCUGGUGCCAAGAAAAAUGGCGGCAACAACAACAUCGGAGGAGGGAAGAAGGUCGGAGGAAAUCCUAAUCAAGCCAUUGGCUUGAAAGGUCCAAAUGGGUCAGAACCCAAAGGCUCGUAUACUGCAUCUGACAACAAGAUGGUCAAUGGUGCUCCCUUGUGUGGUGGUAAUCAAAGUGCAGUUGCAGGCCCCCCACCACCAGGACUCGGUGGGAGUCAUGGCUUGGGAUUACAUCAAGCUCAGCAACAGCCAGGGGCUACCUUCCCUGCAGGUUUCCCCGCAAAUGGUAAUGGUGGGUUUGGGGUGAGCCACCAGCAAUCACCUCUGAUGAUGAACCUACAGGGACAGGGGUAUCAGAACCAGACCCCAUCCACGAUGAUGAACUUGAGGGGGAUCAACCACAGCAGCAGCAACAACAUGCUGAUGAAUGAGAGCAGGUACAUGCAGCCCCAAGUGAUGUACAAUAGGUCACCUCAAAUCCCUCCCUACACUGCCUACUACUAUCCCUGCCCCUACUACCAGAGUCCCUAUGUGAGCCACCACCACUCGGACACUGGUCUCAGCGAUGAGAACACAAGUAGCUGCGUGGUAAUGUAAGAGACUACUAUUGUGUCUUAGAAUCAGUAGGGGUGUGAGGGAAUGUGAUCGAAGUCUGCAGCAUUUCCUGUGCAUUUGGCUUUUUCUGUUGGUAGAGUUUGGUCUGAAUGGCUUAAAUGUUAGGGGGGUGUUUGAUACUCAUGGCAGCCCCAGAAUAUUUACUUCAUGCAGUUAUUGAUGCAAUGCCAUCCUGUCCUGUCUCCUGUCUCUGUAUUAAUGCUGACUACUAUGUUUAAUUUAUGGGGUCUGGAGUUUUGUGCUUGUGGGAGUCGAGGAACUGUGUCAUGCCCAUUCGACAUGCAUUUUGAAUUGAUUGUUCACUGGAAGAGGGGAGUCAAACUUGGGUUUACUCCCAGGCUUUGUCCCAUGCCUUUUAGUACAAGGGAUAUGAUGACAGGUGGGAGGUGGGGAUUUCAACAGCUCAUGUGACUGUGUUGUUAGCUAAGAACAUGAUUAGUAUUAGUGGAUAAGCUAGUGAACCAUGAAUUGAAGUAUUAGAUAGAGGAAGAGAGAAGGAAUGUGCAUACCUGGAUUGUUACAGUUGAUCUUUUGUAUGGCAUUGCAUCAGCUAACAAGCAUAUCAGAUACUGGCUUUGCUAAUUUCUUGACUCCACAGUCUCUCUAUUCUCAUCAAGGAAAAGCUGACUUCCUAAACCAAGGAUGACAGCCAAAAAAGUGAAGACUGUAAGCAUAUUUGUACUGAUCAUAAUCUCUCACAAGCAAGACAAUCAUCUAAGGGAAACCAGAAAAAAAAAAAUGUCAGUGGAUGAGAAUAAACUAACUUUUGUCUUUUGUUUUACUGGCAGAAUAAUGCAGUCAGCAGUUACCUCUGAAGAUGUUUUCUCCUCUCAACUGAAGUUGAGAGAUUC
rnacentral:lncRNA from 1 species